UAAAACCGCGAGCUCGAGGGCGUAGUUAUCUGAUUAAAAAACCUACUUGUCACAUAACUAUUAUAUUAAGAGAUAUAACCCACUUUGAUUCAUAUGAGAAAUUUUUAGAGAGUUUACCUCCAAAAAAGCUAAUAACUUCCUUAGGUCUUAUGUCUACAGGUCAACGACGCGAAUUCUUGUGUGGUCGUUUUAGAGAAAAGCAUAAAAUAAAGAGUUUCUUAUACAAUAUAGCCUUUGUAUGAUGGAGUAAGUAAUAUGGGACAAAAAAUAAAUCCACUUGGUUUCAGACUUGGUACAACACAAAGUCAUUAUUCCCUUUGGUUUUCACAACCAAAAAACUAUUCAGAAGGUCUACAAGAAGAUAAAAAAAUAAGGGAUUGUAUCAAAAAUUAUGUACAAAAAAAUACAAGAGCAUCCUCAGGUAUCGAAGGAAUUGCACGUAUCGAAAUUCAAAAAAGAAUUGAUCUGAUACAAGUGAUAAUCCAUAUGUGAUUCCCAAAAUUAUUAAUAGAAAAUCGACCACAUGAAGUAGAAGACCUAAAAAUAAAUGUACAAAAAGAAUUAAAUUGUGUAAACCGAAAACUCAAUAUUGCUAUUACAAGAAUUGCAAAACCUUAUGGGCACCCUAACAUUCUUGCGGAAUUUAUAGUCGGACAACUAAAGAGUAGAGUAUCAUUUCGAAAAGCAAUGAAAAAAGCUAUCGAAUUAACCGAACGAGCUGAUACAAAAGGAAUUCAAAUCCAAAUUGUCGGCCGUAUCAAUGGAAAAGAAAUUGCACGUAUCGAAUGGAUAAGAGAGGGUAGGGUUCCGCUACAACCCAUUCGCGCGAAAAUCGAUUAUUGUGCUUAUACCGUUCGAACUAUCUAUGGAGUAUUGGGAAUCAAAAUUUGGAUAUUUAUGGACGAGGAGUAAUAAACCUUUACUUAAAUUUGUCUUUUGGUAUCAAUUUAAUGAUGGAACAUAAAAUAACAACCUUUUUGCUUCUUUUUCCAUCAAACAAAUUCUCAUUUUGAAUCCCAUUUUAAUCCCAUAAGGUUUAAUAAAAAUUCGAUUGACCUUUUAAAAAAAUUACUAUGCUUAGUGUGUGACUCGUUGGUUUUUGUGAAAAUUAAAACUAAAUAACCAAAAAAAACAAAUCAUACAAGAUAGAAACUCAUAACUAGCAACUAAUAACCAACUCAUCGCAUCACAUUAUUUGGAUCCAAGGAAGCAGUCAAGAUAUGUUAUUUUAGCCCUAGCAUUGUUGAAAAUGCAUUUUUUUGGCAUAAACAAUUCAUUAGAUUUAUUGUCAAACAAAAUAAAAUACAAAAAAGAAAAAAAGGAUACGGAUAAAAGGAAAGAUGAGAGAAAGAAAAAAAAAAAAGAAUCCAAUAGAAACGAUAUAUUAUUCCACUAUGUAAGUUCUUUGAAACAUCUCAUAAAAAAAAUGUAAUAAAGCAUCAAUACAGAUUGACGCAAAAUUAUAUGAUAGAAAUCUAUUUCAUAGAAAAAAA